AUAUUUAGGUCUUGGUGGGCGUGCAAACUUGAUGCCAUGUAGAAGUCGACAUACCACUGGGUGCUUUCCUGCCUGACGUCCAUUCCAGCCUUGAUGGCCUGCCGAAAUAGCUGAUCUAUAGAGGUUGAUUCACGAUAUGCCAGGCCAUGGUCGAAGAGUGAAGUAAGGAAACUUAGAACCUGACUCACAUUUGCAGAUAUGGGAUCCACGUGUUGUUCCAUGCCCCAACUAUUC